rnacentral:tRNA from 1 species
GGAGCGUUAGCUCAGUUGGUUCAGAGCACCACCUUGACACGGUGGAGGCCACUGGUUCGAGUCCAGUACGCUUCACGA